CAUGAACGCUAGCGGGAGGCCUAACACAUGCAAGCCGAGCGGUAUUGUUUCUUCGGAAAUGAGAGAGCGGCGUACGGGUGCGGAACACGUGUGCAACCUGCCUUUAUCUGGGGGAUAGCCUUUCGAAAGGAAGAUUAAUACUCCAUAACAUAUUGAACGGCAUCGUUUAAUAUUGAAAGCUCCGGCGGAUAGAGAUGGGCACGCGCAAGAUUAGCUAGUUGGUGAGGUAACGGCUCACCAAGGCGAUGAUCUUUAGGGGGCCUGAGAGGGUGAUCCCCCACACUGGUACUGAGACACGGACCAGACUCCUACGGGAGGCAGCAGUGAGGAAUAUUGGUCAAUGGGUGCAAGCCUGAACCAGCCAUCCCGCGUGAAGGACGACUGCCCUAUGGGUUGUAAACUUCUUUUGUAUAGGGAUAAACCUACCCUCGUGAGGGUAGCUGAAGGUACUAUACGAAUAAGCACCGACUAACUCCGUGCCAGCCGCCGCCGUAAGAC
rnacentral:rRNA from 1 species